rnacentral:lncRNA from 1 species
UCAGGAUCCCUGGCGGCGCCUGAGCCAGCGGCUGCUAGGAGGCUGUGUCCGCAAGCCAGCGGGGCGAGGCGCCUGGGCCCUGCGCGUCAGGUCCCGGCCUGGGGCACCGGGGCUGCCAGCGUCGGAGGAGGCCUGAGACCUGGGAGGAAGCUGGAGAAAAGAUGCCCUCUGAAUCUUUGUGUUUGGCUGCCCAGGCUCGCCUUGACACCGAAUGGUUGAAAACAGAUAUACAGAUGGUAGUGUCGAACCAAGUGGAACAAAGAAAGAAGAUCUGAAUGACAAAGAGAAAAAAAAUGAAGACGAAACUCCUGCACCUGUAUAUAGGGCCAAGUCAAUUCUGGAGACCUGGGUGUGGGUCAAGCAACCAGGAAACGGAAGCCCAAAGAGGAGGGGAGCUUACAGCAGGCCCUGGACUAGGGAUUAACACAAAAACAACAGCAACAAAUCUGAUUUAAGCUUCACACAUUCUUGCUCUGUUGCCAGGCUGGAGUGCAGUGGCACAAUCUCGGCUCACUGUCAUAAUGUCCGCCUCCAUGGUUCAAGUGAUUCUCCUACCUCA